GCCAGUAUGGUGUGGUGGUUUGUGUGUUGGAUUAUGACUCUGAAGACCAGGGUUUGAAUCCCUGUUCAGCUA